rnacentral:rRNA from 1 species
AGUUGAUCCUGGCUCAGGUUGAACGCUGGCGGCGUGCUUAACACAUGCAAGUCGCGCGUGAAAGGACUUCGGUCCGAGUAAAGCGGCGCACGGGUGAGUAACGCGUGGAUGAUCUACCCAUGAGUUAGGAAUAACGGCUGGAAACGGUCGCUAAUACCAAAUACGCUCCGAUUUCAACUUCGGGGGAAAGGUGGCCUCUGCUUGCAAGCUACUGCUCAUGGAUGAGUCCGCGUCCCAUUAGCUAGUUGGUGGGGUAACGGCCCACCAAGGCGACGAUGGGUAGCCGGUCUGAGAGGAUGACCGGCCACACUGGGACUGGAACACGGCCCAGACUCCUACGGGAGGCAGCAGUGGGGAAUAUUGCGCAAUGGGCGAAAGCCUGACGCAGCGACGCCGCGUGAGGGAUUGAAGGUCCUCGGAUCGUAAACCUCUGUCAGGAGGGAAGAACCGCCACGGUGCUAAUCAGCCGUGGUCUGACGGUACCUCCAAAGGAAGCACCGGCUAACUCCGUGCCAGCCGCUGC